UGUAAGCGUAUACCAAAGUUGUUGCAGUUAAAACGCUCGUAGUCGGAAUUUGGCAGUUCCGGAUGUGUGCACGUCGUGUGCGCACUUCGCGGGGAUUGCUUUUGUGGUCUUGCGUAGGAUGAGGCACUUUUAUUAGUGAACGUCCUCACGCAACCACUUUUUACUGUGAGAAAAUCAGAGUGCUCAAAGCAGGCAUUUGCCGUGAAUGUAUUAGCAUGGAAUAAUAGAAUAGGACUUGGUUCUAUUUUGUUGGUUUGUUGGGACUGAGUAAUAAUUAAGAGGGACAGUUGGGGGCAUUUGUAUUUCGGUGCUAGAGGUGAAAUUCUUAGAUUACCGAAAGACAAACUGCUGCGAAAGCGUCUGCCAAGGAUGUUUUCAUUGA
rnacentral:rRNA from 1 species